AUGUAUUUUUUAUGUGCCCAUGUCCUGAUAAUGAUAUGUUUUUUUACAGAAAAUGGGAAGGUUGAUUUCAAAAAGUUGAUGGAACAAGUGAAUAUUAUUAAAGGAGGAGAAAUCGAUGUCUGUGACUUGAAAAAUGUUCUUGGAAAAAUGGGGAUAACACUCACAAAUAAGGAAUUUCUGAAUCUGGUACAAAAUUUACCAAUAGAUGCUAAUGAAAAAAUCUAUAAGAAUAGAUUGCUGGAUGGCUUGAAGUCUCUUAAUGGUAAGUGAAAAACAAUGAAAAACCAGUUGACUCUAAGAGAUACAUGUGCACUGUUUCCUAGAUAUUAAAUUGUGACUCUUUUCACUUUACUUAAAUAUUGAUGCUAUUCCCAUCUUCCUUUUUGAUGUUUUUGUUAGCAAAGUAUCUCCACAUUAGAUUUCUUUUUUAAAAUUUUAUUUAAAAUAUACAAAGUUCAUGUAUUUCCUAUACACAGAUUCAGGAACACAGUGAUACUUCUCAUCCUACUAUUCUUCUCACCCAUAUUAACCAUGCUUCUUCUUUCUCCCUCUCCUAUUCCCAUUCUAAAUUUUUACAAAGACCCAUUUUUAGUUUAUUUUAUGUUCAUAAGAUUAACCCUACACUAAGAGUUCAAAAAAUAGCAUGAAGGAAAAAAACACUGUUCCUCAACAGUCAAGCAUCGCUUUCUGACCUUUUGGCUAAGAUCAAGAGUAACAGUCAAGACAAAGACUUAACAAUCAUAGAGUCUUAAAAUGUCAAUUUCACCCCUAUAAAUCACCUUUUAGGUAUUUUAUUAGUUACCACAGAUCAGGAAAAACAUAUAAUAUUUGUGUUUUUGGAACUGGCUUAUUUCACUAUGUGUAAUGGUUUCCAGUUGUAUCCAUUUUGUUGCAAAAAAAGUUUCUUUUUUUACCACUGUGUAGUAUUCCACAGUGUAUAUAUACCAUAAUUUCUUUAUCCAGUCUUCAGUAGAUGGACAUCUGGGUUGAUCCAUAUCUUAGCUAUUAUGAGUUGAGCUGCAAUCAACAUGGGAGUACAGAUCACUUUUUUAUAUGCUGAUUGCAUUUCAUUUGUGUAAAUUUCAAGGAGCGUCAUGGCUGGGUAAUAUUUUAGGUCUAUAUUCAGAUUUCUUAGGUGUUGCCAUAUUAUCUUCCACAGUGGCUACACCAGUUUGCAUUCCCACUAACAGUGGAUUAGAGUACCCUUUUUCUCACAUCCACGCCAGCAUUGUUUGUUGAUUUCUGUAUGAUUUCUGUAUCAGGGGUGAGGUGAAAGCUCAUUGUAAUUUUGAUUUGCAGUUCCCUGAUGGCUGGUGAUCCUGAGCAUUUAUUCAUGUGUCUGUUGGCCAUUUGGAUUUCCUUUUCGAAAAGUGCCUAUUCAAGUCCUUUGCCCAUUUCUUAACUAGAUUAUUUGUAUUGUUGUUGAGUUCCUUGCACUCUUUAUAGAUUCUAAAAUAUUAAUCCUUUAUGAGUUUCAUAGUUUGCAAAUAUUUUCUUCCAUUCUGUUGGUUACCUCUUCACUUUGCUGUGUGUUUCUUUUGCAGUGCAGAAGCUUCUCAGCUUGAUGUAAUCUCAUUUGUCAAUUUUGGCUUUGAUUGCCUGUGCAUCUGGGGUCUUUUCCAAGAAGUUUUUGCCUAUGUCAGUGUCUUUCAGAGUUUUCCCAAUGUUCUCUAGUGAUUUGAUGGUAUUGUGCCAGAUUUAGGUCCUUGAUUUUUUUUGACUGGAAUUUUGUGUAAGGUGAAAGGUAGGGGUCUUAUUUCAUCCUUAUACAUGAGGAAAUCCAGUUUUCCAAGCACUACUUGUUGAAUAAACUGAUCCUUGCUCUACA
ensembl:lncRNA